rnacentral:rRNA from 1 species
UACGAGGGGAGCAAGCGUUGUUCGGAUUUACUGGGCGUAAAGGGCGCGUAGGCGGCCACGACAAGUCACUUGUGAAAUCUCCGGGCUUAACUCGGAACGGUCAAGUGAUACUGUCGGGCUAGAGUACAGAAGGGGCAACUGAAAUUCUCGGUGUAGCGGUGAAAUGCGUAGAUAUCGAGAGGAACACCUGCGGCGAAGGCGGGUUGCUGGGCUGAUACUGACGCUGAUGCGCGAAAGCCAGGGGAGCGAACGGG